GCCUGGGUGGCUCAGUCGGUUGAGUGUCCGACUUCAGCUCAGGUCAUGAUCUUGCGGUUCGUGGGUUCAAGCCCCGCGUUGGGCU
rnacentral:tRNA from 1 species